UGAGUGGCGGACGGGUGAGUAACGCGUGAGUAACCUGCCUUAAAGAGGGGGAUAACGUCUGGAAACGGACGCUAAUACCGCAUGACAUACGGAGAUGGCAUCAUAACCGUAUCAAAGGAGGAAUCCGCUUUAAGAUGGACUCGCGUCCAAUUAGCUGGUUGGUGAGGUAACGGCUCACCAAGGCGACGAUUGGUAGCCGGACUGAGAGGUUGAACGGCCACAUUGGGACUGAGACACGGCCCAGACUCCUACGGGAGGCAGCAGUGGGGAAUAUUGCACAAUGGGGGGAACCCUGAUGCAGCGACGCCGCGUGAGGGAAGAAGGUUUUCGGAUUGUAAACCUCUGUCCUUGGUGACGAUAAUGACGGUAGCCAAGGAGGAAGCCACGGCUAACUACGUGCCAGCAGCCGCGGUAAUACGUAGGUGGCAAGCGUUGUCCGGAAUUACUGGGUGUAAAGGGAGCGUAGGCGGGAAGACAAGUUGGGAGUGAAAUGUAUGGGCUUAACCCAUAAACUGCUUUCAAAACUGUUUUUCUUGAGUGAAGUAGAGGCAGGCGGAAUUCCUAGUGUAGCGGUGAAAUGCGUAAAUAUUAGGAGGAA
rnacentral:rRNA from 1 species